AUGUUACUCCAGUGAAACUUUCCAAGGUCAGUGGAGAGUCCCAUCUCGAUAUAGAACAUGAAGACAACUAUCCUGCCUUCUGCAAUAACCCACAUCUCCAGUCAUCUCCUGUGAAGGAACCAUGUGUUCAGUGUACAGGACAGCAGUACUAUCCCAGCUCCUGAACUCAAUGUAUAUGACUAUGAUGUUUCAUCUAUUCAGGGGCACUGAAAAGCAAAUGUACAACAUCUGUGAAAGGACUUUUCUGUGAGAGAACCUUGCCUCUGGGUGGCAACUCCAAUAUCAGCAGGUGUUGCUAUUAUAGCAGCAGAAUGUGGCUUGAAGUUCUCACAGAUUUCUGUUUGGAUGUUACCAGCAUCUGUCUC